GCCAGCUUACACUGAGCACUGAGCCGUGCCACCAUGUCCCCCAGCCUCCCUGCCCUGCUCUUGGGCCUGGUGACCGCUGCAUCAGGUAUUAGUAAUCUAAUCAGGGUCGUACUGCACACACUGCAACCCAUUAUAGAUACGCCGCUGAAUCUAAGGUCUCCGGUGAAGUUGUUACCCACCAGAUCUAAGAAUGUUUGUCCAGCAAAGGGCAACACGCUAUGCUCAGUAGUUAGCAUUGCUGCCUCCCAGCACCGAGGUCAUGAGUUCAGUUCCCGGUCAUGGCCCAUUGCGUGGUUUUCCUCCGGCUGCGGACUGGCCGGCUGCUUGGCUCCUGACAGCGAUAUGUCAGGGAAUUUAGGCUGUAAGCUCCCAUGGGCAGGGACUGACAUGAAUGACAUAUACUGUAUAUAUAUAGUUCUUUCACUUCUGGAUGUUUUCUUUAUGCAAAUAAGGUGAAGAUUAUUAGUGAAAAAGACGCCACAGCAGGUGCGGCCGUGUCGCCCAGGACCUCAGGACAAGAGCGGGUAUUCAGUGAGCAAUAGUGAGGUGACAUCUGGAGGCUGGAUUAUACUGCAAAGACCCCUGUAUCCCACCGAUCUGUCACAUGGUGUUAGCCUGCACCGCUCCACCAUACCACCCUAUACACCAACCCACACAUGCCCCCAAACAUUCAUUCUCCUAUACUCUCUUGUAAGCAACAUCACAAGGCAGAUUUAUGUGGCAGAGUUUUAUUUCCAUAUCACAUAAUGAGACGGAACAUAAGCACAUGUACAGAGGUGAUCAGAAGUGUCUAUACGCCCCCCCCCCCCCCCC